UACGAAGGGGGCUAGCGUUGCUCGGAAUCACUGGGCGUAAAGGGUGCGUAGGCGGGUUUUUAAGUCAGGGGUGAAAUCCUGGAGCUCAACUCCAGAACUGCCUUUGAUACUGAAGAUCUUGAGUCCGGGAGAGGUGAGUGGAACUGCGAGUGUAGAGGUGAAAUUCGUAGAUAUUCGCAAGAACACCCGUGGCUAAGGCGGCUCUCUAGUACGGUACUGACGCUGAGACGCGAAAGCGUGGGGAGCGAACAGG
rnacentral:rRNA from 1 species